GUCUCUGUGGCGCAAUCGGUUAGCGCGUUCGUCUGCUAACCGAAAGGUUGGUGGUUCAAGCCCACCCAGGGGCG
rnacentral:tRNA from 1 species